rnacentral:lncRNA from 1 species
GGGUUUGGCACAUUUGAAAGAUCACAUUUUCAACGAAUUGACUACAUUUUAUUUUAUUUUUUGUUGGUGUUCUUGUAACUAUGUCUUCAUUAGGUUUCAGCUAUGGCCAUCUCUACGUGCAGCAAAAGCGUCAAAUGGAGAAGCAGAAAAACAUGGACAACCAAAAAUCAAAAGCUAAUAAUGAAAAUAGCAAUGGGAAGAAGAAAAUUCACCCGGCCGCAGUCAUUGCAGCUACAGAAGAAUGUCAGCCUAAAGUUCAAAACUCGACCACCAAAUGAAAUAUGUCCUUGGUACCUAUCUUGCUCGAACUUUUCAAAAAUGUCAUAAAAUACAUAUUGACUACUUUAAAAAUAGUAGUACAUUUUUAAAGAAUUCUAGGUGACAUUUUCAGAGAGUUCAAGUCGUAGCCUGAAACUUUUAGAAAAUUAAGAACUACUUUUACUGAAAAAAUUUCCUGCUAGGACUCUUGUAUUUUAUUAUGAUGAUGCAUGUGUUAUCUUUUUAACCCUCACCCCAAAAAGGGUUUGGAUGUAAACAUUGAAAAGGAAAUGAAAAAGCAAAAAGAAGUUUCUUUAAUUUGUUUCAGUUUUUACCUUGUGUGUGUGUUUUAUUUUUUGUUUCAGUUUUUACCUUUUGUGUCUUUAAAAUUUAGAUUGGAAUUUCUAAAUCUUAUUAAAGAAAAAGCACUUCCUCUCAAUUUCUCUUUUCUAAUUUUUAAUGCUGAAAUUUAAAUUUUUAAUUAAGAAUAUAAAAAUUUUAUUCAUCUAUCCUUAAUUCGGAGCGUUAAAAGGGCUGAACGAGGUGGAAAUAACAAAAAGCUCAAAAGAUUUCUAAUGACGAAAAAUAGUACUCCUAACUUGACACAAAAUUUAAAAAUAUAAAAAAAAAAAAAUUUGAAGCUUGUGGCUUUAAAUUAAAGUUAUGUUAAAUGUAUCAAAAUACCUUUUAAUCUUGUAGUUCUAAAAAUGUCAUGUAGAAAGUUAAAUUUAAAAUAUUACCAAAAAAAAAAGGGAUCAUUUUUUUUCAAACAGACUAAAAAGUAAAGUAGGUCAUUCUCUUAUAAACGGAGAAAGUACUAUACUUCUUUCAUCCUAAUUAUGUGAGUUUUUUCGUUUUUUGAUAGUUAAUUA